rnacentral:rRNA from 1 species
UUGGAGGGCAAGUCUGGUGCCAGCAGCCGCGGUAAUUCCAGCUCCAAUAGCGUAUAUUAAAGUUGUUGCAGUUAAAAAGCCCGUAGUUGAACUUCAGGCCUGGCUGGGUGGUCUGCCUAACGGCAUUGUACUGCUCGGCUGGGUCUUACCUCUUGGUGAGCCAGCAUGCCCUUCACUGGGUGUGUUGGGGAACCAGGACUUUUACCUUGAGAAAAUUAGAGUGUUCAAAGCAGGCAUUUGCUCGAAUACAUUAGCAUGGAAUAAUAGAAUAGGACGUGCGGUUCUAUUUUGUUGGUUUUUAGAGUCGCCGUAAUGAUUAAUAGGGAUAGUUGGGGGCAUUUGUAUUGCGUUGCUAGAGGUGAAAUUCUUGGAUUUACGCAAGACAAACUACUGCGAAAGCAUUUGCCAAGGAUGUUUUCAUUAAUCAAGGACGAAGGUUAGGGGAUCGAAAACGAUCAGAUACCGUUGUAGUCUUAACAGUAAACUAUGCCGACUAGGGAUCGGACGACCUCACAUUGAUGUGUCGUUCGGCGCCUUACGGGAAAC